rnacentral:rRNA from 1 species
UACGGGGGGGGGCAAGCGUUGUUCGGAAUUACUGGGCGUAAAGGGCUCGUAGGCGGCCAACUAAGUCGGAUGUGAAAUCCCCAGGCUUAACCUGGGAACUGCAUCCGAUACUGGAUGGCUUGAAUCCGGGAGAGGGAUGCGGAAUUCCAGGUGUAGCGGUGAAAUGCGCAGAUAUCAGGAGGAACACCGGUGGCGAAGGCGGGAUCCUGGGCCAGUACUGACGCUGAGGAGCGAAAGCGUGGGGAGCAAACAGG